rnacentral:rRNA from 1 species
AGUCGAGCGGUAACAUUUCUAGCUUGCUAGAAGAUGACGAGCGGCGGACGGGUGAGUAAUGCUUGGGAACAUGCCUUGAGGUGGGGGACAACAGUUGGAAACGACUGCUAAUACCGCAUAACGUCUACGGACCAAAGGAGGGGAUCUUCGGACCUUUCGCCUUUAGAUUGGCCCAAGUGAGAUUAGCUAGAUGGUAGGGUAAUGGCCUACCAUGGCGACGAUCUCUAGCUGGUUUGAGAGGAUGAUCAGCCACACUGGGACUGAGACACGGCCCAGACUCCUACGGGAGGCAGCAGUGGGGAAUAUUGCACAAUGGGGGAAACCCUGAUGCAGCCAUGCCGCGUGUGUGAAGAAGGCCUUCGGGUUGUAAAGCACUUUCAGUCGUGAGGAAAGGGUUGUAGUUAAUACCUGCAAUCUGUGACGUUAGCGACAGAAGAAGCACCGGCUAACUCCGUGCCGCAGCCGCGGUAAUACGAGGUGCGAGCGUUAAUCGGAAUUACUGGGCGUAAAGCGUGCGUAGCGGAUGAUAAGCGAGAUGUGAAAUCCCGGGGCUCAACCUC